CAACUUUCAACAACGGAUCUCUUGGUUCUGGCAUCGAUGAAGAACGCAGCGAAAUGCGAUACGUAGUGUGAAUUUGCAGAAUUCAGUGAAUCAUCGAAUCUUUGAACGCACAUUGCGCCCUUUGGUAUUCCAAAGGGCAUGCCUGUUCGAGCGUCAUUU
rnacentral:rRNA from 1 species